CAGUAGUAGUUGCGCGGGAGCAAGCAAACUGACUUACUCUUCCGGGUUCCUCUCGGAGUGUGUUGUUCUUCGAAGCAUUCCAUCUCUUUCUGCUCUGCUCCAGCUUUCCAAGAGCCUCAGGGAGUAAACAGGGUACACGUCUCACUCCUACACAAAAGAGGUCGAGAAAGCGCCUUGAGACGGGAGGAGAGCGCUGUCUGGCGGUUCGGUGGGGUCCGCUGCACUCCAUGGCCUCCGCCUCGGGGCUGGCCGCGCGGGGCCGUGGGAGGAGCGCGGAAUCCCGGGCCCGCCUCCCACCUGCUGGUGAUUUCGGACUGGUGGGGAUUGACCAGGCACGAGGAACACCAGGCGCGUUGUUAAAAGAUGGAACGGACCCGGUCUCGUCAGUUGCUUCUGGUCUCCCAGGGAGGCAGGAGUUUACUUCUCUCCUCAUCACUUGUGAGGCAGCCCUGGAGAAAGGGAAGCCAGCUGCCAUGUUGUGAGGACACUUCAGGCAGCCACAUGAGUGAGAUUAGAAGUGGAUCCUUCCCCAGUGGAACUUUGAGAUGACUGUAAACUCCUCAGAGACCGUGAGCCAGAACCAUCUAGCUAUGCUGCUCCCAGGACUCCUGAUACAAAAACUGUGAGAUAGUAAAUGUUAUUUUAAGCCACAACAUUGAAGUAAUCUGUUUGUCUAUAACCAGUAGAUAAUAGAGAUUUGUACAUCUUCUACCUUCAUAUGUAUUCAUCUGUUUUUACUUAAAGACUUAACCCUCAACAAGUCCCACUGUGAUAAACUCACCACCUCUCCUUCAGACCUGCUCCUCCUCUUGUGUUUCCUGCUUCCAUCAUUGGUACCUAGCCAAAUAUGGGAGUUAUCUGGAACUUGUUCCUCUCAAUCCCCAAAUACUGUCAUUAAUGAAGUCUUGUUUAUUCCUUUUAAAUAUGUAUUUUAUUUAAGUCUUUUUAUACCCACCACAUUGUACAGGCCAUUAUCAUGUUUUGGUUUUCUUGCCUAGAUUACUUCAACAGCCUCCUAAUUUGUCUUCCCAUCUCCAGUUUUACAUCUUAUUAUAAUCCACUCGCUACCCUUCAGUUCCAGUGAUCUUUGUAAAAUGUAAAUCUGAUCAUAUCAGGCUGGAUGAGGGUGGCUGUAAUCCUGAUAUGGAAUACACACCUAUAAUCCUAGCACUCUAGAAGGCCAAGGCUGGUGGAUUACUUGAGCUAGGGAGUUUGAGACCAUCCUGAGCAAGAGCAAGACUUCAUCUCUAAAAACGGUGAGGCCUCAGCCUCCCAGGUGUUGUGCUUGUGAGGCUGAGGCAAGAGGAUCACUUGAGCCUAGGAGUUUGAGGUUGCCCUGAGCUAUGAUGACAUGGUACUCUACCAAGGGUGACAAAAUGAGACUCUGUCUCAAAAAGCAAAAAAAAAAACUGAUUAUAUCAUACUGAUCAUGUUUAACCACCUAUUGUCAUUAGGAUGAAGUAUAUAUUUCUAUUUUAUUUUAUUUUUAAAUCAUAACUGUGUACAUUAGUGUGAUCAUGGGUCACCAUACACUGGUUUUAUAGACCAUUUGACAUAUUUUCAUCACACUGGUUAACAUAGCCUUCCUGACAUUUUCUUAGUUACUGUGUUAAGACAUUUAUAUUCUACAUUUACUAAGUUUCACAUGUACCCUUGUAAGAUGCACCGUAGGUGUAAUCCCACCAAUCACCUUCCCUCCGCCCAUCCUCCCCCCUUCCUCUCGUCCCUCUCCCCCUUCCCCAUAUUCUUAGGUUAUAACUGGGUUAUAGCUUUCAUAUGAAAGCCAUAAAUUAGUUUCAUAGUAGGGCUAAGUACAUUGGAUACUUUUUCUUCCAUUCUUGAGAUACUUUAUUAAGAAGACUAUGUUCCAUGUAAACAUGGAAAAGUGGUAAAGUCUCCAUAGGAUGAAGUAUAUAUUUCUUUUCUUUUUUAUUUUUUUUAAGUAUAUAUUUCUUAAUUUGCCAUAUAUAUAUAAUUCCACUUUGCAUCUCUUGUCAGGUGUCCUGUUUAGUUUAACAUUUGUUCUGGAAUAAAGUAUUCCAGUUUUGGGUGGCGUCUGUGGCUCGGUGGGUAGGGUGUUGGCCCCAUAUACCGAGGGUGGCGGGUUCAAACCUAGCCCUGGCCAAACUACAACAAAAAAAUAGCCAGGUGUUGUGGGCACCUGUAGUUCCAGCUACUCGAGAGGCUGAGGCAAGAGAAUCGCCUAAGCCCAGGAGUUGGAGGUUGCUGUGAGCUGUGACGUCAUGCACUCUACCAAGGGUGACAAAGUGAGACUCUGUCUCUAAAAAAAGGGGGGGGAUAAAGUAUUCCAGUUUGAAAGACAGAUCAUAUGGUCACCCUCAACAGGCUACAAACUCUUCAUGUGGUCCUUCCCUUAAUACCUCCCUAUCUUCUACCCCUUCAGUCUUCAGGUACUAGGUUCAACUCUGUAGUUUCUCCUUAACUUCCAAUAGGCUGGUACUUCUUCCUGGAGCCCUACACUUUCCUUCACUGCCCACACCCCCAUCCCCACAUACAUUAACUCAUCCUUGUGAUUUUUGCUUCAGGUUACUUCUGGAACAUUAUAUGUUAGGCUGUCCUGCCCUCCUGCCUUAAAACAUUUAUAUUUUUCCUACCAUAAUCGACUCUCCCAUGUGAUAGGGUGAUAGCAAUGCGGACAGGCCAGUCAUAGUGGCUCACACCUGUAAUCCUAGCACUCUGGGAGGCCGCAGCAGGUGGAUUGCUUGAGGUCAGCAGUUCUUGAUUAGCCUGAGAGUGAGACUUCUAUCUCUACUAAAAAUAGAAAAAACUAGCAGGGCAUUGGGAUGGGUGCCUGUGGACCCUACUACUUGGGAGGCUGAGGCAGGAAGAUCUCUUAAGCCCAGGAGUCUGAGGUUGCUGUGAGCUAGGCUGACACUAGGCAGUCUAGCCUGAGCAACAGAGUGACAGUUUAUCUCACAAAAAAAAAAAAAAAAAAAAGACUUAAACUGAGAUGUCAGAUUACUCCCAAAUUCCGAGAACUUAGAAAACUGGGCAGAUAGGUAGUACACAUACUACUAGAACUUGGGAAGAAAGGAGGAGCAGCAGAGGGAAACAGUGAAAUUCCUUUUUUUCUUUGCCGGAGCAAUAGAUAACGAGCAGAGAUUCCUUUUCAGUAAAAUCAUGCACUACAUAAUUAUUGGUCUUUUGGAACAAACUAACUUGGAAAUCUAAUUCAUAUUAUUUUGUUAAAUUUUACCCCAAUAGUCUGAGGGAAAUGUUUCAUUCAUGAAUAACUUUUUUUGUUUUGUUUUGAGACAGAGUCUCAAGCUGUUUCCCUGGAUAGAGUGCUAUAGCAUUACAGCUCACAGCAACCUCCAACUCUUGGGCUUAAGCAAUUCUCUUGCCUCAGCCUCCCAAGUAGCUGGGACUAGAGGUGCCCACCACAACGCCUUAAUAUCUAUAAAUUUUAGACAGACUCUUCUUAUUAAAUUGCAUUAUUUAUGCCUAUCUCCUUUAUUCUCUAAAAAUAACAAACUUUUAAAAUCACUAUAGUGGCUUGGUGCUUGUAGCUCAGCGGCUAGGGUGCCAGCCACAUACACUGGAGCUGGUGGGUUUCAAUCCAGCCUUGGCCAGCCAAACAACAAUGACAACAACGAC